AUGUGACGGUGAGAGUUGG
rnacentral:misc_RNA from 1 species